rnacentral:rRNA from 1 species
UACGUAGGGUGCAAGCGUUGUCCGGAAUUAUUGGGCGUAAAGAGCUCGUAGGCGGUCUGUCGCGUCGGCUGUGAAAACCCGGAGCUCAACUCCGGGCCUGCAGUCGAUACGGGCAAACUAGAGUACUGCAGGGGAGACUGGAAUUCCUGGUGUAGCGGUGAAAUGCGCAGAUAUCAGGAGGAACACCCGGGUGGCGAAGGCGGGU